UACGGAGGGGGCGAGCGUUGUUCGGAAUCAUUGGGCGUAAAGGGCGCGUAGGUGGUUCUGUAUGUCUACCGUGAAAGCGUACGGCUCAACCGUAUUUUGUCGGUAGAAACUGCAGGACUUGAGGCUGGGAGGGGCUGGUGGAAUUCCCUGUGUAGCGGUGAAAUGCGUAGAGAUGGGGGAGAACACUCGUGGCGAAGGCGGCCAGCUAGACCAGUUCUGACACUGAGGCGCGACAGCGUGGGGAGCAAACAGG
rnacentral:rRNA from 1 species